rnacentral:rRNA from 1 species
AUUGAACGCUGGCGGCGUGCUUAACACAUGCAAGUCGAACGAUGAAGCCGGAGCUUGCUCUGGUGAAUUAGUGGCGAACGGGUGAGUAACACGUGAGUAACCUGCCCUUGACUCUGGGAUAACUGCUAGAAAUGGUAGCUAAUACCGGAUACGACCCUCGGAGGCAUCUCCAGGGGGUGGAAAGAAUUUCGGUCAAGGAUGGACUCGCGGCCUAUCAGCUAGUUGGUGAGGUAACGGCUCACCAAGGCGACGACGGGUAGCCGGCCUGAGAGGGUGACCGGCCACACUGGGACUGAGACACGGCCCAGACUCCUACGGGAGGCAGCAGUGGGGAAUAUUGCACAAUGGGCGCAAGCCUGAUGCAGCAACGCCGCGUGAGGGAUGACGGCCUUCGGGUUGUAAACCUCUUUUAGUAGGGAAGAAGCGAAAGUGACGGUACCUGCAGAAAAAGCACCGGCUAACUACGUGCCAGCAGCCGCGGUAA